AAGAUUUUAAGUUAUCGUAAACUUUUAAUUUUCAAAAUUAACAUAAAAUUUAAAUUUAAAUCUUA
rnacentral:tRNA from 1 species